AACACAUGGAGCUGGAGACCCAACCAGAAAGAGGAUCUGAAUGGUCAGACUCUAUGUCAUGUCUUAUGAAGAAACUGGAACAGCUGAAUUUAGAUAUUGAAGAAGCUCUGAGUGCUGGCUCUUCUCCCUCCAGCACUCCUUCUACCAAAAGGCAC